AAGAAAUCAGGUCAACUCAACUCUUGGGAAAGCAGAGACAAAAUGUGUCCAACACGAGAGAGAGAGGCAAGCAGCAAAGCCGAGACUGUGGAAACCUUAAAGGACAAAUGAUCCAGUUUCUUCAGCAACAAAAGCAACUAUAACAACAGUGAAGGGGGAAGAUGACUUCUCACAGAAGGGAGGUCUUUGCUGGCAGUAGCAACCUUGGAACACCAGGUGAAAAGACAGAGACACACGGAAGACUCAGAAGAGUGAAGAAGCGUGCCUGACCCUGAUGUAUUGGACACAAACCCUUUGACAGCGUUUCCUUAUCUGCAAAAUGUAGACAGAUGUUUGUUGACAAAUGUUUGUUGGGAAGAGUAAAUAAGGCAUGAAGCUUCAAAGGUAAACAUGUUUGUGUUGAUUGUCUUAGUGGUCUGGUGUGUUGGCUGGAAUCAGCACCCGCAAACUGCAGGUGAGAGAAAUCGGCCAGAGAAAGGAAAGGAGGAGGCCCCUUGUGGCGAUUUGAUAACUCCAGAGUUCUCCCGCCUGACUUAGGAGACCUCGUAGGUGAGCCGGGUGGAACAGGAGCCGCUGUGCUGGUCAGAGGGGAAGGGCGGAGACUUACGCCCCUGAGAGGAGCACAAAGAGACACUGUUUCUAAUGCCUGAGAGAAGCCUUUCAAUUUCCAGAUAAGCCAUGCUGGUAAGAAUCCUGCAGCUCUUUUCAGCUUAAAAAAAAGCAAACAAACAGGCUCUGCUACCCCCUCAAUUCCGUGCUGCAAUUCAGAGCAGGCAGCACAGAUGUCCCUAAGCCCUGCAAGCAGGGAGCGGAUGUGUGACGUCUGCGCCCCUGACCGCGGCGGUGGGGAGCGCACAGCGGGGAGAAACGCCCGCGGACGUGCCUCGCCGGGUAAAGCCUAUCAUCUUCUUCUAGGAGAAACUGCCCUUCAACCCAAAUUUCUGGCGGCACUAUUGUAAAUCCUGCUUUUUUGCCUUGUCUUUUGCUUCCUGAUGGAUAUUCCUUCACUUGAUUAUCUUGCCAAAUAAAUACAUUUCUCUUUUAUCAAGAUGGGUUAAAAAUUGUUGUGUGUGUUUCAAGUAAAAGGUGAGUAAAACCUGAAGAUAGAAUCGUACACUGCUAGUGUUGGUGUUUGCCUAUUUAAGAGACAGGUUAUGAAGAAUAAUAAACAGGGUAAGCACUUAGAAAGAAAUUAUGUAUGUAAUGUUAAUGUCAUGAGUGGGUAAUUUUUUUUACAUAAACUAGUUAAAUGUUGAGUUUUCAAACUAUGCAUUUUUGCAUAUUUUUUCUUAAUUAAGAAAUUAAAACAAGGCAUGCUGAAUACAUUAAAUAUUAAGAUAUAUUUCUGAAAUGCUGGAAGUACACAUUAAUGUUCACGAAA